rnacentral:rRNA from 1 species
CCUACGGGCGGCAGCAGUGAGGAAUAUUGGUCAAUGGACGAGAGUCUGAACCAGCCAAGUAGCGUGAAGGAUGACUGCCCUAUGGGUUGUAAACUUCUUUUAUAUGGGAAUAAAAUGUUCCACGUGUGGGAUUUUGUAGGUACCAUAUGAAUAAGGACCGGCUAACUCCGUGCCAGCAGCCGCGGUAAUACGGAGGAUCCGAGCGUUAUCCGGAUUUAUUGGGUUUAAAGGGAGCGUAGGUGGAUUGUUAAGUCAGUUGUGAAAGGUUGCGGCUCAACCGUAGAAUUGCAGUUGAAACUGGCUGGCGUGAGUGCAGGAGAGGUGGGCGGAAUUCGUGGUGUAGCGGUGAAAUGCUUAGAUAUCACGAAGAACUCCGAUUGCGAAGGCAGUUCACUGGACUGCAACUGACACUGAGGCUCGAAAGUGUGGGUAUCAAACAGGAUUAGAUACCCCAGUAGUC